rnacentral:tRNA from 1 species
UCAGCUUUGGCGCAGUAGGUAACACCUCAGUCUGGAAAGCUGAAGGUCCCAGUUAGAUCCUUGGAAGCAGGG